UUCUCGAUCCUUUUCGGUUCGGCUCCUCGUUCGUGUGCACACCGUCCCUCGCCCUCUCGCGCUUUCACCCGCAGAGUACUCCCCCCCCCCCUCUUGCCAAUUUGGCGGUAUGCUUACGAGCGUAAAGGUGCCUUAUCGUCUGACGCUCUCGUAGAGACAGGGGGGACGAAAUAGCCAACAUACAUACGUACCUACGUGUAUGUGUGUGGGUGUGUUGGUGUGCAUUUCCACCACCACCACCACCCCCUCCCGUCCCUUCUCCCUACUUCCGCACCGCGACUCCCAUUCCCGAACGCCCUCGUAGUAGUCCCACACACGUGCUGCUCCGCUCUACGCAGAGUUCUUGACGCAAGACUCACGGCACUCCACUCUCUGUUCGUGCUUUCUUCCUCCUCCGCCUUGGACGGCGUAUAGCUACAACCUCGGGACUGGCUUGCACCGCUGCAUGGUGCAUGCUUCCUGCCUCUCUUUCUCCCUUUCCUCACGCCUCCCCGAUUGCAGUGGCGCACACACGCACGCCCAUCAUGGGAUCUCUUUUUCUGCUGAUCGACAUCGACAACACGCUGUACGAGUACAGUGAAACGGGCUUUCACCAUGAGAUGCACGAUCGCAUUUUCGCCUUUGCGCAGCAGAAGGUUGGCUUGACCGCCGAGCAGGCAGAGCGCCUCUCCCGGAAGUACUGGCUCAACUACGGCCUCUCCCUCUACGGCUACGUAAAGGAGUACAAUGUCGACGCGAAGGAAUACAGCGACUUUGUGCAUCAAUGCUCGUAUGAUAAGCUGCACUACAACAAACCGCUCAUUGAUAUGCUGCUGAGCAUGCAGUAUGCUCCAGAGGAUGCGAGGGGGCACGAUGAACCGCGUUCGACGAGCAUCGACCACCUCUACUACUUCACAAAUGCCAACCAUUCGCAUGCGCGCAGCGUACUGGACGCGCAAGGGCUGCGUCCCAUAUUCACCCGACCACGCCCGGUAGGGUUGCCCGUGAAGGAGAGCCAUCCCGUCGGCGAACAGGCUGGCGCCGAGGAUCAAGUGGAGUGGCUUGGCUUCUCGUACGAGGACCAGUGGCGACUGACGCAUCCAGAGAUUGCAAACAAGCCAAUGCGACGGGCCUACGAGGCGAUCUAUAAGGUGAUUGAAGACCAGGUUGCCGAAGAUGCGGCACUGGUGGCCACCACCACAACAGCGGGCAGCGAGUCCGCCUUUGCGUCUUCCUCGGCAUUACGCAACUCAGGCAGCGCGGAGGAGGUGAAGAACAAGCGAGCCCAUCUCCGCCCAGAGAACUUUGUCAUGGUGGACGACUCGCUCAUGAACAUCGAUGCACCGCUCGCGCUUGGCUGGAGCGCUGUCUGGUACGCGCACGACAUGCAGGAGUUGCCGACGGAUGCGAAGGACAACGCUAGUGCCCCUCUCUAUGCAGCUGCCGUCGCCUCCGGACGACUGCAGGUGAUCCGUAACAUCCUUGAGCUGAGGGCGGCGGUGGAGCGGAUUCGCGAGGCCAAUAGCCGGAGUACGUCAUCGUGAAGAGGAGUGGGUAACUGCGAGGUGAUGGCGAAGAGGAUGUUGGUGGAAGCUGCGCGGGUGCGCGUCUGUGUGUGUGCGCGCUUGUUGUUGUUUAAUUGAAGUGGCGUGCUGCACCCAUGCAUGCACGCAAAUAAGCACUCACUAGCUCGCGCGCGGUGGGGGAGCCGUGCUAGUUACGGCCGCUUUUUCCUCCUACCAUAGUCGAGGCGGAUGUCGCGGCGAGAGUUGUGUCUCUCGUGGAGUGGAAAGGGCUCGCACCCACGUGUUGGCUGGCUGGCGCUCUCUGCCAUAUAUGCGGGUGCACCUGCGCGCCGGCGCUCGCCCAACAGCCAAAAAAAAAACAGGAAAGCAUGUAGCAAGGACGAGCACCCGCCGAUAGCGGUUCCGCGUGGCAGCGUGGAGAGGAGAUGGAAAAAGGGAAUGUCUAUACACGUGUAAGUCACUAUGGGGUGGCAGCGGCGCGCUGUCGAUCAUCACAGCCACUGCCCCUUCGACGUCGUCUUUGCUCUCUUCACCAUAGUGGCGACAUGCUCGUAUCCACAUCACUCAUUGAUGGCGUGCUCAGCACCAUGAGAGAGAGUGAGCAAGAUUCUGCUGCCUUGGCAUGAACAGCCAAGAUUCUUCAAGGCUUUCUCAGUGUCUUGAUCAUCACCCCCUCCACCCGCGCGCGCGUGCCUCGCUCUCUGGCUCGAUGCCCGCCCUCUUUUUUUCCCGACCUUUUCCCCGCUCGUCUUCGUUUGUUUUUUUGUACCGUUGCUUGGGGCUUUAUACGUUUGGCGGUUUUCGGUUUCCCCGCCGAUGGCAACUACGUUGGCACACACGCAUUGCGAGCCAUCAUGACAG
rnacentral:misc_RNA from 1 species